AAGGCUUUAAGUUAAAAAAACUUUUAGCCUUCAAAGCUGAGUAUAAAGAUCUGCCUUUAAGUCUUA
rnacentral:tRNA from 1 species